rnacentral:rRNA from 1 species
GGGUUGUGAGGUUAAGCGACUAAGCGUACACGGUGGAUGCCCUGGCAGUCAGAGGCGAUGAAGGACGUGCUAAUCUGCGAUAAGCGUCGGUAAGGUGAUAUGAACCGUUAUAACCGGCGAUUUCCGAAUGGGGAAACCCAGUGUGAUUCGUCACACUAUCAUUAACUGAAUCCAUAGGUUAAUGAGGCGAACCGGGGGAACUGAAACAUCUAAGUACCCCGAGGAAAAGAAAUCAACCGAGAUUCCCCCAGUAGCGGCGAGCGAACGGGGAGCAGCCCAGAGCCUGAAUCAGUGUGUGUGUUAGUGGAAGCGUCUGGAAAGGCGCGCGAUACAGGGUGACAGCCCCGUACACAAAAAUGCACAUACUGUGAGCUCGAUGAGUAGGGCGGGACACGUGGUAUCCUGUCUGAAUAUGGGGGGACCAUCCUCCAAGGCUAAAUACUCCUGACUGACCGAUAGUGAACCAGUACCGUGAGGGAAAGGCGAAAAGAACCCCGGCGAGGGGAGUGAAAAAGAACCUGAAACCGUGUACGUACAAGCAGUGGGAGCACGCUUAGGCGUGUGACUGCGUACCUUUUGUAUAAUGGGUCAGCGACUUAUAUUCUGUAGCAAGGUUAACCGAAUAGGGGAGCCGAAGGGAAACCGAGUCUUAACUGGGCGUUAAGUUGCAGGGUAUAGACCCGAAACCCGGUGAUCUAGCCAUGGGCAGGUUGAAGGUUGGGUAACACUAACUGGAGGACCGAACCGACUAAUGUUGAAAAAUUAGCGGAUGACUUGUGGCUGGGGGUGAAAGGCCAAUCAAACCGGGAGAUAGCUGGUUCUCCCCGAAAGCUAUUUAGGUAGCGCCUCGUGAAUUCAUCUCCGGGGGUAGAGCACUGUUUCGGCAAGGGGGUCAUCCCGACUUACCAACCCGAUGCAAACUGCGAAUACCGGAGAAUGUUAUCACGGGAGACACACGGCGGGUGCUAACGUCCGUCGUGAAGAGGGAAACAACCCAGACCGCCAGCUAAGGUCCCAAAGUCAUGGUUAAGUGGGAAACGAUGUGGGAAGGCCCAGACAGCCAGGAUGUUGGCUUAGAAGCAGCCAUCAUUUAAAGAAAGCGUAAUAGCUCACUGGUCGAGUCGGCCUGCGCGGAAGAUGUAACGGGGCUAAACCAUGCACCGAAGCUGCGGCAGCGACGCUGAUGCGUUGUUGGGUAGGGGAGCGUUCUGUAAGCCUGUGAAGGU